rnacentral:lncRNA from 1 species
AUAAAUUGACGGGGUAUAAAUCAUUUUACGGAACUUGACUUUCCUUGUUAUUUUAACACCUAAUCUUAUUUACAUAGCUAUAUAGAUUCAUAUGGACACAAAAUUUCCAGGGAGGUUGCACUGUAUAUAUACAGAAGAUUUCAUUCAAAGAGAGGAGAAAUUAUACAGAGGUGAAUGUAGUAGGAUCCGAUGGGGCUGAAAAAAGGAACGCCUCCAAUAAUAUACAACUCUUGCUAAUGUUAAAUAUUUGAUUUGAUUCAGGUCAGACAGCAAUGGAUGCCCAACACUUUACCAGCGGAACUGCAAUCACGAACCCAAAGUCUUGUGUAAGGGAAAGCACUAUGCACAAGUAAUAUAAUAAUACCUUACGAACUUUGAAAGUUAUAAUAUAUCAAAAUCAAGCUUCAUAUAACUUACGAACUUCUUCUUUUUCUUUUUGUCAAUUUGAGUUUGAAGCUCUACUUGUCGGGUAAAGGCAUCGUCAAGUGACUACAGCAAACAGAAAAAAGAGUUACAGAAAUAUAAGAUUCUUUGUUAUCAUAUAUCAAUAUUUUUCUCAAAUGAUGAUGAUGUUGUAGUAAGAAGGAAAAGCAACAGUACU